GCCCCGCUCGCACCCGCCAACCAACGGCGCGCCGAGGUCGGCUCCUAUGCAAAUCUGCAGAGGCUUCAGCAUUCAUUGAGAAAAGCACAGAGCACGCCCCGCCCUUCCUCUAUGCCUCUCCCCUCUCUCCUUCCUUCCCCUCCUCCAGAUUCCCUGCCCUAUUUCUCUGCUGUGUGAACAGGAGCCUGUUUUGGAUAAAUGUGAGGACCGGAAGAGGCCUUUGUAAUCAACCACUCUUUCUAACUAUGCACUUAAGAGAUUAAACAGACCUCUCAGCCACCCCGCGUUUUCUCAGAAGGGUGCUUGAACAUGUGUCCUUUAGUCUCUGCAAGCUCUAUGUUUGACAACUCACUUAAUUUGACAAGCAACUUGCCUCUCCUUGGAACUCAAAGUGGGUGCACUGACUUGACAAGUUCAAGGACAAAGUAUGAUCUGACCCAAGUGGAAGAAAUGAUGCUCCUACCUUGUUGGAGGAAGGGGGGAGGAAGAAAGAGAAAGAGAAAAGUAAGGAAAAGAUUACAAAUGGAAUGGCUCAGUGAGGGUAACUUCCCAACAAGAAGACUACACAGGUGACAAGAUCUGUUACAUGAUUUGGACCUGGAUAUCUGACUAAGAAGUCCAUGCUCUCAAACCCUGGAGAACCUCAUAAGACAGAAAAUGGAGGGGAUGGAAUAGGCUGAGAUGGACAGAGGUGAACAGAGGAAGAAACCGAAAGCCUGACUCAAAAAGAGACAGACAGAGGAUGGGAAUGGCAGGGAGAACAGACAGGAGAUACUGGGAGCCCCGAGGAGACAGUUAAUGAGGUGAGCUGCUCCAGGUCACCUUGCCAAUGACUUCGGCAGUUAAGUUGAGGAGGGAGGAAAGUGAAAAGACCAGGUACCAAGAGAGGAAAGGGCCAAGCUGGACACUGAGAGUAGCAAGACCCUCCUCAGGAAAUUCCCCACUUCUGGAAAUGGAGAUGUGGACAACUCAGUUAAGGAGAGGUUUGAAUUCUCUAUAAGGGAAGCAGUAAUAAAGACAGCAUUUCAAAUCCAAGAAGUAAUGACUUAAGGCAAAACACACCUCAGAACUGCAAAAUCUGACUGAGACCUACAGGGUUAAUUAAGUCAGGCAUUCAGCUGGUCAAGAAAAAGGAGGAGGAGGAGGAGGAAAGAGAGAGAAAGAGGGAAAGAGGAAGAGGAGCAGGAGGAAGAGGAAGGAGAAGGAGGAAGAGAAAAAUCAGUAAAGUCAAGCUGAAGCAAGGCAAGAGAAGAUACUUACUGCUACGACAUUGGAAACCCAUAACCAGUGUAGCUUACACUGGGCCAAGAGCAGGAAUUGGG
rnacentral:lncRNA from 1 species